ensembl:snoRNA
UGCUUCUAACAAGUGCAAUUCUAAAGAAAAGAAAAGCAAAAGUCAGUGCCAUGUGGCAUCACUGGUUUUCAUAGCUUUGUGUAUGUUAAUCCUGGUGUAUCUAUUGAUAUGAUA